GGGGUGUUAGCUCAAUGGCAGAGCGCCUCGUUUGCAACGAGGAGGUUAUCGGUUCAAGUCCGAUACACUCCACCA
rnacentral:tRNA from 3 species